GCACAAGCGGUGGAGCAUGUGGUUCAAUUCGACGCAACGCGAGGAACCUUACCCAGGCUUGAACAGCGAGUGACCACUUCCGAAAGGAAGCUUCCGCAAGGACACUCGUAGAGGUGCUGCAUGGCUGUCGUCAGCUCGUGUCGUGAGAUGUUGGGUUAAGUCCCGCAACGAGCGCAACCCUUGUCUGCUGUUGCCAUCAGGUUAUGCUGGGCACUCUGCAGAGACUGCCGGUGAUAAACCGGAGGAAGGUGGGGAUGACGUCAAGUCAGCAUGGCCUUUAUGUCUGGGGCUACACACGUGCUACAAUGGCCGGUACAAACCGUCGCGAUACCGCAAGGUGGAGCUAAUCGGAGAAAGCCGGUCUCAGUUCGGAUUGCAGGCUGCAACUCGCCUGCAUGAAGUUGGAAUCGCUAGUAAUCGCGGAUCAGCACGCCGCGGUGAAUACGUUCCCGGGC
rnacentral:rRNA from 1 species